UGAACUUACUGUCUGUCUCUGUGUUUCAGGACGUAGAUGAUGUCCAGGUUAACUAUCCAGGAAUCAUUGAAGUCAUGACCGACCUACAAGAGAUGUACGGUAACGAGGACGGGUCCAUCCCUGCCACCUUCGAGAUCCUCUACAUGAUUGGCUCACAAGUCUCAGGCCAAACCGGCGAAGCGAGGCUCGGCCAACGUGUCGUUUGGGGAUUUGUCAAAGAUCAGCCAGCCGACCAACACAAACACGUCGUAGAAGAGCCGACUGAACAGCUGACCCACUGCAGAUUGUAAAUAAUAGAUUUUUUAUUUUAACAGCAACUGUAAUGUACUGUAAUGUUGUUGUGUCUGGAAUAAAGUUGAGGAAUGGAAAACAG